rnacentral:rRNA from 1 species
GAUGAACGCUGGUGGCGUGCCUAAUACAUGCGAGUCGAGCGAACAGACGAGGAGCUUGCUCCUCUGACGUUAGCGGCGGACGGGUGAGUAACACGUGGAUAACCUACCUAUAAGACUGGGAUAACUUCGGGAAACCGGAGCUAAUACCGGAUAAUAUAUUGAACCGCAUGGUUCAAUAGUGAAAGACGGUUUUGCUGUCACUUAUAGAUGGAUCCGCGCCGCAUUAGCUAGUUGGUAAGGUAACGGCUUACCAAGGCAACGAUGCGUAGCCGACCUGAGAGGGUGAUCGGCCACACUGGAACUGAGACACGGUCCAGACUCCUACGGGAGGCAGCAGUAGGGAAUCUUCCGCAAUGGGCGAAAGCCUGACGGAGCAACGCCGCGUGAGUGAUGAAGGUCUUCGGAUCGUAAAACUCUGUUAUUAGGGAAGAACAAAUGUGUAAGUAACUAUGCACGUCUUGACGGUACCUAAUCAGAAAGCCACGGCUAACUACGUG